CCUCCUUUCUAAGGAAUUUUAUUUUAUCACUCUUCAGUUUUGAAAGACUUAAUAAAAUAAAAUUUUUUCUUACCUUAAAGUUAAAGGGCCUAUAGCUCAGUUGGUUAGAGCACACGCUUGAUAAGCGUGAGGUCAUUGGUUCAAUUCAUUUAGCCAAAUUUUUAUAGGUUUUAAUUUAAAAAAAGUUUUUUGAAAAUUAGAUAAAAAAAUUGUUUUAUAAAUUAAAGG
rnacentral:tRNA from 1 species